AGAGUUUGAUCCUGGCUCAGGACGAACGCUGGCGGCGUGCCUAAAACAUGCAAGUCGAACGGUGUAGCAAUACACAGUGGCGAACGGCGGAGUAAUACAUAAGCAACGUGCCCUGAAGACUGGGAUAGUCAGAGGAAACUCUGGGUAAUACCAGAUGUGGUCAUCACCCGGCAUCGGGAGAUGAUUAAAUGGUUUUUCGCUUCAGGAGCGGCUUAUGGCCUAUCAGGUAGUUGGUGGGGUAAUGGCCUACCAAGCCGACGACGGGUAGCGGGUCUGAGAGGAUGAUCCGCUCGAGUGGGACUGAGACACGGCCCACACACCUACGGGUGGCAGCAGUUGGGAAUCUUGCACAAUGGGGGAAACCCUGAUGCAGCGACGCC
rnacentral:rRNA from 1 species